AUCUUGGUUAUGUUAUAUUAUUAGUCAAGCAGUUUUCAAUCCUCUAUAGGUUCUUCACAAAACUCUGCUUCUUGUGUUAUGGAACAGACUAACAUUAAAUCAGAGUGAACACAGGCAUCUGCAUGCACCACACAAAAAGACAUAAUGGUUGUUGGUUAUUUCUCAACAAAAAACUAUAAACGAGAACUUGCUUAUGUUAGUCUCACAAUUAUACUUUUUUGGGCACAUCAGAAAAGAUUCCCGCAGUUAUACUUUUGAUGAAGGGUAUUUGAAAAGUCUUGCUGCAGGAAUGGUUUGUGCAUCCUUUGUGGUCAUUAUUUGAGGCACUGACAUGCCACCAGAGAUGAUGAUUUCAAUCCCUUCUCGAACAGACAAAUUGGGCCUCAGAAUAUCCUUUGUACUUAUGAGAAAUAUAUCUCCAACAUACAGGUGAUUGGUGGGGACAUAGACACAGCAGAGUUCUUCUUCACCCAUACUCCUCUGAAGAAUCACUGUGGAUGUUAUAAAUCCAAAUGCAUAUUCCCCAAUACGAGGAUGCCUUAUGAUGGCCACUUCCUUGAAGGCAUUAGUAGUCUGAUCUGGAGAUAUUGCAGCACUAAUUUGCUUUGAGGAAGAAUAUAUAUAGCUUACGAGUGGCAUUUUCUUAAUAAACCAUUCCCCAAUAGUAAGAACAGAAGCUCCUAACCAUGAUGACAUGAAAAUGCCAACUAAGAAUAUAAAAGUGAUGGAUGUAGCAAACCCAAGACCUGCAAUAUUGCUGCAUCAGUCUCAAAAUGAAAGUUGAUAUAAUGUUUGAGAUCCAAAAGCCCCCUGAAGACUAAAACAAUAGUUUGGACAAGAAAUGCUGGAUAAUCACGUGAAUCAACAUCUUUGACCUCAAAUUGGCAAGAAAAUUAAUCAUUUUUUUAAGGCUUAGCUCAUAUAUUAUGAUCUGGAUAAUGAUUUGCUGAUUUCAAACCAUUUUCAUAAUCUACAUGAGAAUCCCACAUUGAACAACACUUGGUUUAGCUCCGUUUAUAGCAGAGUAGUUCCUGCAAAGAACUAUAUGAUUGGAACUUGAUCUUCUCUUUGCUGACAUUGAGGCAACUUGGCACAAAAACUUCCACUAGAUGUUGUCCUUGUAAAUCAGUCAUUGUCCUCAAAGGAAUUAUGAUUUACUUUCUCUCCAUCUUGGUGAAGAUUGAGCCUUAUUUAACAUAUUCUAGGAAGAGGAAAAAGGGGAAAAAUAUAACAAAAUCACUAACUUCAAAACUUUGUCUACCAGCUGUCUAUAGUUCAGAGAACUAAUUACAUGGAACAAAGACUCACAUACAUCAGCUAUCAAAUUU
rnacentral:misc_RNA from 1 species